AAAUUGAAGAGUUUGAUCAUGGCUCAGAUUGAACGCUGGCGGCAGGCCUAACACAUGCAAGUCGAACGGUAACAGGAAGCAGCUUGCUGCUUCGCUGACGAGUGGCGGACGGGUGAGUAAUGUCUGGGAAACUGCCUGAUGGAGGGGGAUAACUACUGGAAACGGUGGCUAAUACCGCAUAACGUCGCAAGACCAAAGAGGGGGACCUUCGGGCCUCUUGCCAUCAGAUGUGCCCAGAUGGGAUUAGCUUGUUGGUGAGGUAACGGCUCACCAAGGCGACGAUCCCUAGCUGGUCUGAGAGGAUGACCAGCCACACUGGAACUGAGACACGGUCCAGACUCCUACGGGAGGCAGCAGUGGGGAAUAUUGCACAAUGGGCGCAAGCCUGAUGCAGCCAUGCCGCGUGUAUGAAGAAGGCCUUCGGGUUGUAAAGUACUUUCAGCGGGGAGGAAGGUGUUGCGGUUAAUAACCGCAGCAAUUGACGUUACCCGCAGAAGAAGCACCGGCUAACUCCGUGCCAGCAGCCGCGGUAAUACGGAGGGUGCAAGCGUUAAUCGGAAUUACUGGGCGUAAAGCGCACGCAGGCGGUCUGUCAAGUCGGAUGUGAAAUCCCCGGG
rnacentral:rRNA from 1 species